rnacentral:lncRNA from 1 species
CUGUGUAGGGCUGUGGGGGGGCUGUGCGCCUGUGUAGGGCUGUGCGGGGGAUUUGUGUGGGGUUGUGGGGGGGCUAUGGGGCUUUGUGGGGUUGUGGGGGGGCCUGGGGGGGCUGUGUGUGGCUGUGUCUAUAUGGCUGUGUGUGGCUGUGGCUGUGCGGCUGUAUCUGGCUGUGUUGGCUGUAUGCCUGUAUGUGGCUGUGUGGCUGUGGCUGUGUGUCUGUACGUCCGUAUGGCCGUGUCCGUGUGUCCCCACCUGCGCUGGCGGUCGGUCAGGGUGAUGCCGCGCGCAGACACGUGGAAAUGCGCGGUGCAGGGCGGGGGGGGCGGCGCUCCCAGCACGGCGUCCGCCGCCAGCGCCACCGCGCGGGGCCCCGUCAGCGCCUCCGU